rnacentral:rRNA from 1 species
CCUACGGGAGGCAGCAGUGAGGAAUAUUGGUCAAUGGGAGAGAUCCUGAACCAGCCAAGCCGCGUGAGGGAAGACGGCCCUAUGGGUUGUAAACCUCUUUUGUCGGAGAACAAAACCCGGGACGAGUCCCGGACUGCGUGUAUCCGAAGAAAAAGCAUCGGCUAACUCCGUGCCAGCAGCCGCGGUAAUAGGGAGGGUGCGAGCGUUACCCGGAUUUGUUGGGUUAAAAGGGUGCGUGGGGGGUCGGCUAAGUCAGCGGGAAAAUUGCGGGGCCAAACCCCGGCGAGCCGUUGAAUCUGGCAGACUGGAGUGGGCGAGAAGUACGCGGAAUGCGCGGUGUAGCGGUGAAAUGCAUAGAUAUCGCGCAGAACUCCGAUUGCGAAGGCAGCGUACCGGCGCCAGACUGACGCUGAGGCACGAAAGCGUGGGGAUCGAACAGGAUUAGAUACCCCAGUAGUC